rfam:Ornithorhynchus anatinus chromosome 4, whole genome shotgun sequence.
CCCCUCUCAGAAUGGCACCCGGAGAGUUUCCAGUACUCUACCAGUCUCGGCUACGGGAGGGAGAGUGGAGCAGAGGCCUGUCCAUUCCAUUCCUAGCUUGGGCAGUGGCUGGAGAAUGGAAGGCCAUCUGCUACAAGU